GGUCUGGUGGUCUAGUGGUAUGAUUCUCGCUUAGGGUCACACCCUUGAGCUCAGCUUGCGAGAGGUCCCGGGUUCAAUCCCCGGCCAGACCC